rnacentral:rRNA from 1 species
GACGAACGCUGGCGGCGUGCCUAAUAUAUGCAAGUCGAACGCUGAAGCGUGGUGCUUGCACCGAGCGGGUGAGUUGCGGACGGGUGAGUAACGCGUAGGUAACCUGCCUGGUAGCGUGGGAUAACUAUUGGAAACGAUAGCUAAUACCGCAUAAGAGGAGAUGUUGCAUGACAUUUGCUUAAAAGGUGCAAUUGCUUAACUACCAGAUGGACAUGCGGUGUAUUAGGUAGUUGGUGAGGUAACCGGCCACCAAGGGCACGGUACAGAGCCGAGCCUGGGAGGGUGAUGGGCCACACGGGAAUGGAGACACGGCCAAGACCCCUACGGGAGGCAGAAUUGGGGAAUUUCGGCAAAGGGGCGAAGGCUGGACGAAGCACGGCGGGGUGGUUGAGGAAGGUCUCGGGACGGAAAACUCUGUUGAGUUGGGAGGAAGAGUGGUAGAGUGAAACGUUCACGCUGUGACGGUACCUUAACAGAAAGCGACGGCUAACUACGUG